rnacentral:lncRNA from 1 species
UGCAUACUUAGGCCCCACCUCCUUGCUCUAAGGUUCCAUGUUGUUGAAAUUGGACUCACAGCUGGAGGGUUGGAUGGCUUCCUGAUGUCCUCCACCCAGCUUGGCUUGGGGACACAAAGCAGGAGACUGGGGUAGAGUGGCCCUGUAACAGUGAACAGCAGCACCAGGAUCUUGGGACUCUUGAGAACAGCAAAUCCUCACCUAUGCUUUAUGGGACUUAAUUUGGAGGAAACACAGCUGGGUGCAUGGAGAUACUGGAGGCAGGAGGACCGUUGGGGAGAGAGCUGGCAUUACAAGCAUGUACACCUGGCUUCACGUGGUUCUGGGAACUUAACCUAUGAUUUGGUGCAAGCUAAUCCAGCACUCCCCAACAGGUCUCUGGGGUAUCCUGCUUCUGGGUCCUGACCCUCAGGGGAGAGCUCCCUCUCAGAGUAUAGGUCUCCAGCUGUGCCAGUCAUCAGCUGGCCACUCCCACUCUAAUGUAUAACAAAACACACAGGCUUUUCCCUGGCUUCCAGACUCCAUCUCUUCAACUUAGAGAGCCGGUUGGAAUCUGCCUGGAUCCUUUCACCCUGUGCUGCCAUCCAGAAAAUACUCACUCACUUAUGAAGAAGUGAUUGUAAAGAGGUAAACUUCAAGAGACUUUGAAAGAAUUUUGUGUUUCAGAAAAUACAGGAAGAAGACAUUGGGUUUAAGAAUCAGAAAUCUGUUGGGGCCAUGGAUGUGCCCAUCUAACAUUGCAACACUGAAGAGAUGAAUCAGUUUUCUAGGUUUCAUUUCAACCACUCUUUGGGGCUGAAUAAAGGAUCAUCCCACUUUUACGGAUGGUGUGGGCCUAAGCUAAAUACACAAAGAUGGACAUCCAGGCUUAAGCUGCAAUUGUGAUAAUCCAAAGCCACUAAAGAAAUGAAAAGAACUUCAAAGAAAUAUCAUUUCACAAGAAUUCCAAACAUUAU